ACUCUGAAUACCGUAGCUAAUCGACGGAUUUUCCGUCGAUAACCGAAAGAAAGUUGUCUGCCCUAUCAACCAGAUGGUAGUCUAUUAGUCUACCAUGGUUAUCACGGGUAACGGAGAAUAAGGGUUCGACUCCGGAGAGGGAGCCUUAGAAACGGCUACCACAUCC
rnacentral:rRNA from 1 species